UACGAAGGGGGCUAGCGUUGCUCGGAAUUACUGGGCGUAAAGCGCACGUAGGCGGCUUUGUAAGUUAGAGGUGAAAGCCCGGAGCUCAACUCCGGAACUGCCUUUAAGACUGCAUCGCUUGAAUCCAGGAGAGGUGAGUGGAAUUCCGAGUGUAGAGGUGAAAUUCGUAGAUAUUCGGAAGAACACCAGUGGCGAAGGCGGCUCACUGACUGGUAUUGACGCUGAGGUGCGAAAGCGUGGGGAGCAACAGG
rnacentral:rRNA from 1 species